rnacentral:rRNA from 1 species
CUCCAAUAGCGUAUAUUAAAGUUGUUGCAGUUAAAAAGCUCGUAGUCGGAUUGGCAUCACGCCGCACUGUCUGCCGAUUGGUAAGUACGGUUUGGCGGGUGCUUCCUUCCGGUGCUGCGUUCUGCUCUUAAUUGAGCGGUUCGUUGGUUCCGGUUCUUACUUUGAGAAAAUUAGAGUGUUCAAGCAGGCCUAUGCUCUGA